AACAGAGCUGCUUCAAGAUAUAUGAGGCUAAUUGAAGCUUGUGCAUUUGUUGGAUAUUGCUGCUACAGUGGAUGCUGUUGUUCAGUAUUCAGAUAUCAAGAAACAACUAGCCAAAGUAAGGAGGAACGAGGGGCCCACGAAGCUCAGUAGAGCUUGUGAUAAUAUUUGCAAGAGAAGACUGCCUGCCAAACGAACUUCAGAAAAGGUAGGUGUUUCUGGUUGAAAUCAUUGUGCCCAACAUUCCACCAGGUUCCUCACAUGUUGAACACAUCAAAGCCUACUCCACCCAUCUGGGAAUGGACAAGCAGAAAUGACUCACUGUGUUUUCCAAUUGCACUCAAGACCUGUCUCCAUAUGCCCUCCUCCUCUGCUUGAGCAGAAGGUGAAAGAGGUUGUGUUGACUGUGGAAUUUGGGCCAUUGAAUCUUGAAGACAAAUGCUCUUUGGCUUCACUACAACAUCAGAGGGCACUUGGCCAAGGAAGACUAGUUAGAACCAGCCUUUUUGCAAACACAGCUGAGGUAUUUAUCCUGUCUUUUCUUCAUCACAAAAGUAGCAUGGAGAAUAAUGGACAAUAGAGUUCAAGUGGAGCAAGAACUGUCCAGAAUUUGGGGAAGAAGUCACAUAUCAGUCCUGGCCAUGAUAACUGGGGCACAUGUACUAUAUCCAAGUUGAUAUCCUUAAUUUGGGGAAAGUUUUCUUGCCUUUCCCACAGCCUCCCAAGCCAUUGGCAAUCCCCACAUUCAAAACAUUCUCAUUCACAUUUCUGAUUCACUUUGGGCUACAGGAACAACAGAUGUUGAGUACUUCUAGGGAGCAGAGCCAUUAUAGGUGGAGGUAGAUCUUGCAAACAGAGAGGUAGAGAGCUUUCUCGAGACCUUUGGACCAAGCAGAUGACAUCACAAGGUGUACCUUAUGCUAAGUGCCUGAUCUCUAAGACCCUCCACCAGCGUCAGAGAGACAGCAUGCUCACAACAUGACAGCUGGUCAUACAAGGUCAAGAAGAACAUGAAGACCAGCCCACCCCUGAAAAUGACAGAUCAAACUCAGCUUCACAAUGUCUCUUAUUCCAUCCCUAAUGGUGUUUAAAAACACAGUUUGUCUUAAGGAACAAGGGGAA
rnacentral:lncRNA from 1 species